UACGUAGGGUGCAAGCGUUAAUCGGAAUUACUGGGCGUAAAGCGUGCGCAGGCGGUCUGUUAAGUCAGCUGUGAAAUCCCCGGGCUCAACCUGGGAAUGGCAGUUGAGACUGGCAGGCUGGAGUGUGUCAGAGGGGGGUAGAAUUCCACGUGUAGCAGUGAAAUGCGUAGAGAUGUGGAGGAAUACCGAUGGCGAAGGCGGGUCUCUGGGCCGAUACUGACGCUGAGGAGCGAAAGCGUGGGGAGCGAACAGG
rnacentral:rRNA from 1 species